GAUGAACGCUGGCGGCGUGCCUAAUACAUGCAAGUCGAGCGAAGCGGGGACGGGUGAGUAACACGUGGAUAACAUCCUAUAAGACUGGGAUAACUUCGGGAAACCGGAGCUAAACCGGAUACUGAUAUAUGGAUACGCGGUGCAUUAGCUAGUUGCGAAGGUAACGGCUUACCAUGGCAACGAUGCAUAGCCGACCUGAGAGGGUGAUCGGCCACACUGGAACUGAGCCACGGUCCAGACUCCUACGGGAGGCAGCAGUAGGGAAUCUUCCGCAAUGGGCGCAAGCCUGACAGAGCAACGCCGCGUGAGUGAUGAAGGUCUUCGGAUCGUAAAACUCUGUUAUUAGGGAAGCGGUACCUAACCAGAAAGCCACGGCUAACUACGUGCCAGCAGCCGCGGUAAUUC
rnacentral:rRNA from 1 species